rnacentral:rRNA from 1 species
UUCAUCGUACGGUUUCGUUUUCCACCGGAGCUUGCUCCACCGGAAAAAGAAGAGUGGCGAACGGGUGAGUAACACGUGGGUAACCUGCCCAUCAGAAGGGGAUAACACUUGGAAACAGGUGCUAAUACCGUAUAACAAUCGAAACCGCAUGGUUUUGAUUUGAAAGGCGCUUUCGGGUGUCGCUGAUGGAUGGACCCGCGGUGCAUUAGCUAGUUGGUGAGGUAACGGCUCACCAAGGCUACGAUGCAUAGCCGACCUGAGAGGGUGAUCGGCCACAUUGGGACUGAGACACGGCCCAAACUCCUACGGGAGGCAGCAGUAGGGAAUCUUCGGCAAUGGACGAAAGUCUGACCGAGCAACGCCGCGUGAGUGAAGAAGGUUUUCGGAUCGUAAAACUCUGUUGUUAGAGAAGAACAAGGAUGAGAGUAACUGUUCAUCCCUUGACGGUAUCUAACCAGAAAGCCACGGCUAACUACGUGCCAGCAGCCGCGGUAAUACGUAGGUGGCAAGCGUUGUCCGGAUUUAUUUGGGCGUAAAGGCGAGCGCAGGCGGUUUCUUAAGUCUGAUGUGAAAGCCCCCGGCUCAACCGGGGAGGGUCAUUGGAAACUGGGAGACUUGAGUGCAGAAGAGGAGAGUGGAAUUCCAUGUGUAGCGGUGAAAUGCGUAGAUAUAUGGAGGAACACCAGUGGCGAAGGCGGCUCUCUGGUCUGUAACUGACGCUGAGGCUCGAAAGCGUGGGGAGCAAACAGGAUUAGAUACCCUGGUAGUCCACGCCGUAAACGAUGAGUGCUAAGUGUUGGAGGGUUUCCGCCCUUCAGUGCUGCAGCUAACGCAUUAAGCACUCCGCCUGGGGAGUACGACCGCAAGGUUGAAACUCAAAGGAAUUGACGGGGGCCCGCACAAGCGGUGGAGCAUGUGGUUUAAUUCGAAGCAACGCGAAGAACCUUACCAGGUCUUGACAUCCUUUGACCACUCUAGAGAUAGAGCUUCCCCUUCGGGGGCAAAGUGACAGGUGGUGCAUGGUUGUCGUCAGCUCGUGUCGUGAGAUGUUGGGUUAAGUCCCGCAACGAGCGCAACCCUUAUUGUUAGUUGCCAUCAUUCAGUUGGGCACUCUAGCAAGACUGCCGGUGACAAACCGGAGGAAGGUGGGGAUGACGUCAAAUCAUCAUGCCCCUUAUGACCUGGGCUACACACGUGCUACAAUGGGAAGUACAACGAGUCGCGAAGUCGCGAGGCUAAGCUAAUCUCUUAAAGCUUCUCUCAGUUCGGAUUGUAGGCUGCAACUCGCCUACAUGAAGCCGGAAUCGCUAGUAAUCGCGGAUCAGCACGCCGCGGUGAAUACGUUCCCGGGCCUUGUACACACCGCCCGUCACACCACGAGAGUUUGUAACACCCGAAGUCGGUGAGGUAACCUUUUGGAGCCAGCCGCC